rnacentral:ncRNA from 1 species
GCAGAGUAGAUAUCCUUUCGUUAAGUGCUGUCGGUACGGGGAGUUGACCGGCAGACGAUGCCGAUUUCGGCACGGUUAGGAUCAUCGCACCCGCUGC